GACGUAGGGUCCAAGCGUUGUCCGGAUUUACUGGGCGUAAAGAGCACGUAGGCGGCUUGUUAAGUGUGAAGUGAAAUCUCCAGAGCUCAACUCGGAAACCGCUUCGCAUACUGGCAAGCUAGAGGAAUGCAGAGGUAAGUGGAAUUCCUGGUGUAGCGGUGAAAUGCAUAGAUAUCAGGAGGAACACCCAUGGCGAAGGCAGCUUACUGGGCAUUAUCUGACGCUGAGGUGCGAAAGCGUGGGGAGCAAA
rnacentral:rRNA from 1 species